AACGAACGCUGGCGGCAUGCCUAACACAUGCAAGUCGAACGAGACCUUCGGGUCUAGUGGCGCACGGGUGCGUAACGCGUGGGAACCUGCCCUUAGGUUCGGAAUAACUCCCCGAAAGGGGUGCUAAUACCGGAUAAUGUCUUCGGACCAAAGAUUUAUCGCCUUUGGAUGGGCCCGCGUUGGAUUAGCUAGUUGGUAGGGUAAAAGCCUACCAAGGCGACGAUCCAUAGCUGGUCUGAGAGGAUGAUCAGCGACACUGGGACUGAGACACGGCCCAGACUCCUACGGGAGGCAGCAGUGGGGAAUAUAGGACAAUGGGCGAAAGGCUGAUCCAGCAAUGCCGCGUGAGUGAUGAAGGCCUUAGGGUUGUAAAGCUCUUUUAACCGGGAUGAUAAUGACAGUACCGGGAGAAUAAGCUCCGGCUAACUCCGUG
rnacentral:rRNA from 1 species